rnacentral:rRNA from 1 species
GGCUCAGGAUGAACGCCGGCGGUGUGCCUAAUACAUGCAAGUCGUACGCACUGGCCCAACUGAUUGAUGGUGCUUGCACCUGAUUGACGAUGGAUCACCAGUGAGUGGCGGACGGGUGAGUAACACGUAGGUAACCUGCCCCGGAGCGGGGGAUAACAUUUGGAAACAGAUGCUAAUACCGCAUAACAACAAAAGCCACAUGGCUUUUGUUUGAAAGAUGGCUUUAGCUAUCACUCUGGGAUGGACCUGCGGUGCAUUAGCUAGUUGGUAAGGUAACGGCUUACCAAGGCGAUGAUGCAUAGCCGAGUUGAGAGACUGAUCGGCCACAAUGGAACUGAGACACGGUCCAUACUCCUACGGGAGGCAGCAGUAGGGAAUCUUCCACAAUGGGCGCAAGCCUGAUGGAGCAACACCGCGUGAGUGAAGAAGGGUUUCGGCUCGUAAAGCUCUGUUGUUGGAGAAGAACGUGCGUGAGAGUAACUGUUCACGCAGUGACGGUAUCCAACCAGAAAGUCACGGCUA